AGCUUCGCAGUGACAACCUUGAUCGAAUG
rnacentral:sRNA from 1 species